rnacentral:lncRNA from 1 species
CUUUUAUCCUUGAGAUAGACCCUGCCUCCUGCCCUGCAGGCAGUGACCACAGCAGCAUGGCCAGCCUUCCAUGAUGCAGGCAUGUCUGUCUUCUCUCAGAGUGUGAAGAGUGCAAAGACCUUAUAGAAUCUGUGCUGGAGGAGGAGCUGCAGUUUCAGGAGAGGGAGCUGACCAAAUUGCCAAGGCCAGCAGCAAGGCUCCGGAUACAUGAUCCCUUAAUUCAGGCUCAGGCUGAAGAACUGACCCACUUACGACAGAAGAUACAAGAAGGGAGAGGUGUCUGCUACCUUUUCACCCAGCAUGUGAAGAACACAGUCAAGUCUUUUGAGGGCCUUCUCAGGAACACUGGCAUUGCCUACUACCAGAGACAGAGAUUCUGUGAGCAAAUGGUACAAGGAAGCCAGCUAACAGAGAUCCUUGUCAGAAAACUUGCCACAGAAUCAACCCCAAUGCUCACUAACAAACUGAGAAGAAAAAAAAAGAAUUACCCCCAACAACAUCUGAGGAAGUAGAACAGGGACAGACUUGAAGGCACCUGGGCAGUCCUCUGGUUUUGGAGUAGAGGUAGGACAGGGCUAUUUGUCCUCUCAGAGACUGGAGCAGGUUCUGUGUGUGAGUAGCAAUGGGACAAACAGUCGUGGUCUGGCAACCAGCCUGUAGCAGGAAGGAAGGUUACAACGGGAGAAGUCCAAAGGGCAGCCAGGCAAGUAUUCUUUGAGCUGGGGAACAAAAGGCAUUUUAAACUUUUUGCUCUGCUUCAGGCAGCUGACGUCUGGUGAUGAUUCACCAUAUCAGGAACACCCUGUCCAGUGGGCUCAGGCAAGCCUGCCAGGCCACUUCUCUAAAGACACAACCUGAGGCCUCCUGCAAUAAUUCUCACAGAGCAUUCUGAACAUACAUGUAAGGUGUUAUGUCCCUGAUCAUAUAGGGCCCAUGUGUGCAAUGUGUGAAAUGGGACCUGCUUAAAUUCUGACUAGCUCUUUCUAAUUUUGGCUUGCAGAAAAUCACAAUGGUAAGAAAAUGAAGACAGGCAAAAGCCACUGGCUCCCAGGUAACUCUACAUGAUGAAGGGGCUGAUAAUGGACUGACCAAAUCUAGAGAGAAUUCCAGAAGCAAGGACUCAAGAGGUUAAAGGUCCCAGAUCUAGAAAAAGCAGAAACUGCUGAUUGUUCCUUUUUUUGUUGACUGAUUAUACAAUGUGUCCUUUUAAAAAUGGUUCUCUGUUCUCUUUGCAGUUGUUGUAUUGGUUCCUAGUUCCUAGUAAUUUCUCACACUUAGUUAACCAGUCAGUCUUACCGAAAAGUAAACUAACCAGGGAUCCCUGGUUUCUGUAUCUUUAAAACCUAUAGGGUUACAAACCAAAGUGAGAUGCCUAUCUGGUUUCUGCACAGUUGUCCUGAAUUAUGUUGGCAGAUAUUUUAUAGCCAGAAAUUUACCUUGAAAAAUAAAUUGAAACCAUACCAAGUAUUUAGAGCUAGGGGUCUAAAAUCUGCAAAAGCCCUGGGAGGUUGUGUUGUCUCAAGAGCCAGUAUUCAGUGGACCACUCCACAUCAUAUUAAAUAAAAUUUAAACAGCAUUUUGAAGCCGACAGUAUGGGUCACUGUGUGUCCUGUGUGCCGUGAGCGUAUUGUAGAGUAGUUGUUGAGUCUGCUGCCUUAUCUGUGUGUUAUGAGGUCAAUGCACUGAGCACUUGCUUUUUUCACUUCUAUACUAACUCUAGGCACACUUUACUCCCAGUCAAAAGUGGACUGUAUACUUCCUCUUUGAUGUGAUGGUCCCUUUGGUUUUGGUGCCUCUUCCAUGAGCUUCAGAUCAGAACUAGCUAUGUGGUUCCAGGCUGCCCUGGUUUAAUCCCUUGUCUUGCCUACUUCACCUGGCUCAAGAGGGAAGUCCAGGAGGAAGAAAUGGAUGAAGUCCUGGAGGACUCACUAGAUGAACAGUAUUUGACUCAUUCCAGCUGCCAUGACUCCCACCAGCUUCCCAGCAGCAAUGCCUUCCUCUUUGAUGCACAGGAAGGCCCCUCGGCUGUGGAAAUAGCCAGUAAGUGCUCCUUUGAUAAGAAAAAUAAAGCUCCAUCAAUCUCUCAGUAGCUCCUACAUUCUACAUGCUCACCACCUCUGUCUAAACUGAGAGAUGUUAUUCUCUGCAGGCAGGCCCUAAACAUUCACUUUAAAAAAGUGAUUAGGCUGAACACAGCUCUGGGAUCAACUCUCAAGUACAGGUCCCUGGUGGGUCAGGUAAUUUGCUCUGUUCCUGUCCUCACCUCAGUCCCUCUGGUCCAGACGGGCAUCUGCAAGCCGGUAUACUCAAAGCAGGCCAGAAUGGAGAGAGUGAAGAGAUUAUGGCAGACUCUCUGCCACUACUGCCACACAUGUACAAAUCUGUUUAACAGAUCUUCUUCUUUAAAAUGGGACAUCUCAUCUUUCCUGAAAUAUAUAUAUUUUUUGAGACAGGGUCUCUUGUUCUGUCACCCAGGCUAGAGUGCAGUGGCAUGAUCUUGGCUCACCACAACCUAAAACCCAGGGUCAAAUGACCCUCCCACCUCAGCCUCCUGAGUAGCUGAGAACACAGAUGCAUGCCACUACUCCUGGCUAUUUUUUUUUGCCUUUUUGGUAGAGGUGGGUUCUUGCUUUUUUGCCCAGGCUGGCCUCAAACUCCUGAACUCAAGCAAUUCACCCACCCCUGCCUCCCAAAGUGCUGGGAUUACAGAUGUGAGCCACUGCACCCAGCCUUCCUGAAAUAUUCUUGGUAAUUAUAGUUCCUGAACAGUUUUCCCAAGCUGUUCUAGCCAUCCCAAGAAUGUUGGCAGGCUUGUCCAUAUGUUUGGAGGUGCAAUUAUAAUGGUUCCUGGGUUUCAAGCUCCAGUCUCCAUCUCCCCUCAGGUGCUUGCUUUCCCAUAAGGUUCCAUCUGACUACUGGAAUAUCAGGGGAUUUCCAUAAAGACAAGACUUUGAUCUUGGCAACCCUUUGGUAAAUAGCCAGGGUUCUCAAUCUUUGUGCAGCACCAAGGUAUUUUUAAGAUG